rnacentral:rRNA from 1 species
CAGUCGCCGCGGUAAUACGUAGGGUGCGAGCGUUAAUCGGAAUUACUGGGCGUAAAGCGUGCGCAGGCGGUUCGUUAAGACAGAUGUGAAAUCCCCGGGCUUAACCUGGGAACUGCAUUUGUGACUGGCAAGCUAGAGUCUGGCAGAGGGGGGUGGAAUUCCGCGUGUAGCAGUGAAAUGCGUAGAUAUGCGGAGGAACACCGAUGGCGAAGGCGGCGACCUGGUCCUUGACUGACGCUGAGGCGCGUAAGCGUGGGGAGCAAACAGGAUUAGAUACCCCCGUAGUCCCUGUCUCUUAUAA